CCUUCGGGUUGUAAAGCUCUUUCGGCCGGGACGAAAUCGCCUUCAUGAAUACUGGGGGUGGAUGACGGUACCGGAAGAAGAAGCACCGGCUAACUACGUGC
rnacentral:rRNA from 1 species